AGAGUGAACGCUGGCGGCAGGCCUAACACAUGCAAGUCGAACGGCAGCACAGGGGAGCUUGCUCCCUGGGUGGCGAGUGGCGGACGGGUGAGGAAAACGUCGGAAUCUGCCUAUUUGUGGGGGAUAACGUAGGGAAACUUACGCUAAUACCGCAUACGACCUACGGGUGAAAGCGGAGGACCUUCGGGCUUCGCGCAGAUAGAUGAGCCGACGUCGGAUUAGCUAGUUGGCGGGUAAAGCCCACCAAGGCGACGAUCCGUAGCUGGUCUGAGAGGAUGAUCAGCCACACUGGAACUGAGACACGGUCCAGACUCCUACGGGAGCAGCA
rnacentral:rRNA from 1 species